UUUGAACAAGCUGCUUUUCACCCCCUUGUCCAAAUCACUGAUGAAGAUAUUAAACAGUGCAGACCCAAGGACUGAGCCCUGGGAAACUCCACUGCGCACGUCCCUUGAGGUCAAACUGACUCAUCCACCACCACUCUGGGUGCGACCUUCCAGCCAAUUUGCAACCCAUUUGACAGUGUAGGCAUCGACACCACAGUUGCCUAAUUUUUUAAUGAGUGUGGGGUGAGAGACAGUGUCAAAGGCCUUCCUAAAGUCCAGAAAGACUACGUCCACAGUGAUACCUGCAUCCAAGGAUUUUGUGACCUGGUCAUAGAAGGCCACCAGGUUGGUCUGACAGAACCUGCCCUUAAUGAACCCAUGUUGGUUGCCCCUAAGCAUAAUCUCCUCUGCUGGUCCCUCGCAGAUGUGCUCCUGGAUAAUUUUCUCAAACAGCUUCCCCAGGACCAAGGUUGGUUGAUCUCACAUGGCGAGCUUUAAACUAGCCUCGACAGGGAAGGGGGCUGCAGGAAGACGUGGAGACAACCGAGCAAGACAGGUAACAUGUGCAAGGAGUGCCCAGGGACCGGGACUCCCCCACCGUGAUACAAGACAGACUCGAGGGGAAUGCCUCAAGACCUAAGGUUGAGAAGGACUGGGUUAGAGUGCUUCUGGAGGGGCUGGACGUGUUCAAAUCAGCAGGUCCAGAUGCUCUCCACCCCAGGGUGUUGAGGGAGCUAGCAGGGGUUAUUGCAGGGCCCUUGGCACGGCUUUACGAAAGCUUGUGGUGCUCAGGCCAGGUGCCAGAUGAUUGGAAGAUAGCCAAUGUGGUCCCCAUCUUUAAGAAAGGGAGGAGGGAGGACCCAGGCAACUAUAGCCCCGUCAGUCUUACCUCAAUCCUGGGGAAACUCUUUGAGAAGAUCAUCAAGGAGCACAUGUGUGAUGGGCCAGCAUCGGGGAUGAUGCUUAGGGGCAACCAGCAUGGUUUCAUUAGGAGCAGGUCAUGUCAGACAAACCUGAUUGUCUUUACGAGCAGGUCACAAAAGCAUUGGAUGCAGGUGUCGCCGUGGAUGUAGUCUUUCUGGACUUCAGCAAGGCCUUUAACACUGUCGACCACCCCAUCCUCAUUAAAGAACUAGGUGACUGUGGCAUUGAUGCCUACACGGUCAAAUGGAUUGCAAAUUGGCUGAAGGGUCAUACUCAGAGGGUGGUGGUGGAUGAGUCAUAUUUGCUCUGGGGGUAAGUGGCAGUGAAGUCCCCCAGGGCUCGGUCCUUGGCCUGCACUGUUCAAUUUCUUUAUCAGCUAUUUGGACAGCGGGGUGAAAAGCAACCUGUUUAAAUUUGCUGAAGAUACCAAAAUUUGGGGUGAGGUGGGCACGUUAGCAGGGAGGGAAAGACUGCAGGAAGACCUGGAGAGGUUGCAGGGGUGGGCUAACAAAAACAGGAUGCGUUUCAAUACUGACAAGUGCAGGGUGCUGCACUUGGGCAGUAGUAACCAGCAGCACACUUAUAAGAUGGGAAACUCCCUUCUUGAGAGCACGGAGGCAGAAAGGGAUCUUGAAGUCAUUAUUGACUCCAAGAUGAACAUGGGCCGACAAUGCGAGGUCGCGGUCGACAGGGCCAACUGGACCUUAUCGUGCAUCCACAGGUGCAUGUCAAGUAGGGCCAAGGAGGUGAUCCUCCCCCUGCAUGCAACACUGGUCAGGCCACAGCUGGAGUACUGUGUCCAGUUCUGGGCACCCCACUGCAAGAGGGAUGUGGACAACAUUGAGAGGGUCCAGAGGAGGGCCACCCGCAUGAUCCGGGGACAGCAAGGCAGACCCUACACUGAGAGGCUACGGGACCUGAACAUGUUCAGCCUUCACAAGAGAAGGCUGAGGGGGGAUCUUGUGACUGUCUAUAAUCUCACUAGGGGGGACCAGAAGGGUUUGGGGGAGACCUUGUUUUUCCUAGCGCCCCCCGGGAUAACAAGGAAUAACAGCCACAAGUUGUUGGAGAGUAGGUUUAGAUUGGACAUCCAUAAGAAAUACUUCACAGUCAGGGCGGCUAGGAUCUGGAACCGACUUCCAAGGGAAGUGGUGCUGGCUCCUACCCUGGGGGUCUUUAAGAAGCGGCUUGAUGCCAACCUGGCUGCAGUCAUUUGAGCCCAGUUUUCCUCCUGCCCAGGCAGGGGGUUGGACUUGAAGAUCUACAAGGUCCCUUCCAACCCUACUUGUAAGAUUCUAUGUUUCUAUGAAAGAUGGGAUUCCUCCAAGUGGCCCAAAACCCAUAGUUGGAUGCUGGUAGUGCAGAGCCCAACAGUGUAAGUGUGCAAUCAAUCGAGUAUGCUUGUUCAAUCAAAGUUUGAGUAGUUUCAAAUUUGGCUUUCCUGGAAGCUGUCUAGGACAUGCCUGAAUUUUUUCCUGAUAUCCAUUGUAAACCUACUUUGGUGUAGCUUCAAGCCAUUGGUUCAUGUCCUACUCUAUGCAGGAAGAGAAAAAAGAUAUUUCCCCUCUUCCUUAUGGAAGUCCUUCAAGUAUUUGAAGUUUGAUAUCAUGUCCACAUUGAAGUGCCUUUUUCAAAAGUGGAACAUGCCUAGAUCCUUCAGCCUCUCCUCAUAUGAAGUAGGUUUAGAUUGGAUAUCAGAAAAAAAAUCUUCACUGUUUGAAAAGUGUUUCACAGUUUUUCACUUCACUGUUUGACCACCAAACCACGUGGCACCCACAAGGACAGCCCAGCCUGAAGAAAGAGAUCAUUGGGAACCUGCAAGACGUGGGGCGGCCAGCACUACAGCACAGUUUGCAGAUGACACAAAGCUUUAGGGAGAAGUGGACACGCCGGAGGGCAGGGAACAGCUGCAGGCAGACCUGGAUAGGCUGGACAAGUGGGCAGAAAACAACAGAAUGCAGUUCAACAAGGAGAAAUGCAAAGUGCUGCACCUAGGGAGGAAAAAUGUCCAGCACACCUACAGCCUAGGGAAUGACCUGCUGGGUGGCACAGAGGUGGAAAGGGAUUUUGGAGUCCUAGUGGAAUCUAAGAUGAACAUGAGUCGGCAGUGUGACGGAGCCAUCAGAAAAGCCAAUGGCACUUUAUCGUGCAUCAGCAGGUGCAUGACGAACAGAUCCAAGGAGGUGAUACUUCUCCUCUCUCGGGCGCUGGUCAGACUGCAGUUGGAGUACUGCGUGCAAUUCUGGGCGCCGCAAUUCAAGAGGGAUGCGGAUAACCUGGAGAGGGUCCAGAGAAGGGCCCUCGUAUGGUUAAGGGCCUGCAGACCAAGCACUACGAGGAGAGACUACAGAAACUGGACCUUUUCAGCCUCCACAAGAGAAGGUUGAGAGGCGACCUUGUGGCUGCCUAUAAGUUCAUCACGGGGGCACAGAAGUGAAUUGCUGAGGAUUUAUUUACCAAGGCGCCCCCGGGGGUUUUAAGAAAUAAUGACCACAAGCUAGCAGAGAGCAGAUUUAGAUUGGACAUUAGGAAGAACUUCUUCACAGUUCGCGUGGCCAAGGCCUGGAACGGGCUCCCAAGGGAGGUGGUGUUCUCCCUACCCUGGGGGUCUUCAAGAGGAGGUUGGAUAUGCAUCUAGAAGGGGUCAUCUAGACCCAGCACUCUUUCCUGCUCUGCAGGGAGUCAGACUCGAUGAUCUAUUGAGGUCCCUUCCGACUCUAACAUCUAUGCAUCUAUGAAUCUACGAAAAGGGAGGCAGGAGAAUAGACUGUCAAGGGAAGUUGCGGACUUUCUGGCACUGAAGGUGUUCAGAAGGGGUUGGGCAGCUAUUGGUAAGGGAUGAUCUAAGCAUAGUUAUGGCUGUCUUCUUCAAUGGAUUUUUCCCAUGCUUCUGGUCUUUGCUGAUUGCCACAUGAGGUUGGGAGGGAAUUCCUCCCUCUCCCUCCACCUGACGCAGGAGGUAUAGGAUUUCACUAUGGGGCAUGCUUUGAUGGACUUGGUGCUUGCUACAGGGGAUGACCUGGUAGGGGAUCUGCAGGUACAAGGCAACUAGGGGAUAAUGACCAUCAAUUGAUUGAAUUCAUUAUCCAGCAAAGGGUGGGAAAAGUAACCAGCAGGGCAGAAGUGCUAGACUUCAGAAAGGCUGACUUCACUGUGCUUCAGAGAUUAGUUAGUGGGGCAUUAAAGCUCAAGUGCAUUGACAAAAUGGGGAUCUAGGAAGGGUGGUUGUUCUUCAAGGAAGUGAUGCUUCAGGUGCAGAAGGAGGCAAUCCCACUACAUUGAAAAGGGGGCAAAGGGGCCAAGAAACCCGCCUGGUUAAACAAGGACAUCCAGGAAAGCCUAAGGGCAAAAUAGGGGCAUACAGGCUAUGGAAGCAGGGGGUAGGUACCAAAGAGAAGUAUACCUCCUUGGCUCGCACUUGCAGGGAAUCAGUUAGGAAGGCCAAAGCAGCAUUAGAACUCAGGCUGGCGACAAAAAUUAAGGACAACAAAAUGUCCCUCUUCAGGUAUACAGGGAGCAAAAAGAAGGUGGAAGGCAGCAUAUGACCCCUGCAGGAUAGCCAAGGGCAGUUGGUGACAGGUAGGAGGGACAAAGCAGAGCUCUUCAUGGAGUUUUUUGCCUCUGUAUUCUUGUGUAAAGAGACACUUGGAGGGGCUGGACUUGUUUAAAUCAUCAGGACCGGAUGAACUCUAUCCAAGGGUGCUGAAAGACUUAGCCAGUGUCAUAGCAGAGCCACUGGUACAACUGUUUGAACACUCAUGAUGCUCAGGUGAGGUCCCAGAGGACUGGAAAAGGGCCAAUGUGGUCCCUAUUUUCAAAAAGGGGAGGAAGGAGGAUCUGGGUAACUAUUGACUGGUUAGUCUCACCUCUAUCCUUGGGAAAACCCUGGAAAUAAUUCUAAAGGAUCACAUCUGUAUGAGUCCAGAGUGUAACAUAAUGCUGAAGGGCAACCAGCAUGGGUUCAUAGCAGGCCAAUCCUGCUUGACUAAGCAUGUUUCUUUCUAUGACCAGCUCACUAAAAGCUUAUAUACAGGAAUCAAUAUAGAUGUCAUCCACUUGGACUUUAAGAAGGCCUUUGACACAGUAUCCAUCCUAUCCUUUUUAACAAAUUGAACAGCUGUGCCAUAGGCGAUUACACAGUCAUGUGGGUGGCAAAUUGGCUUAAGCGUCAUACCCAGGGAGUGGUGGUGAAUGGGUCAGUAUUGACCUCGAAAGAUGUGGGCACUUGGGUCCCCAAGACUUGGUCCUUGGGCCGGUACUGUUCAAUAUCUUCAUCAGUGACCUGAAUGACGAUGUGGAAAGCACUCUGUCUAAAUCUGUAGAUGACACCAAACUAUGGGGUCAACAGGAAAUGGGAGAUGCUUUGUUCACGAGAGCACCCCUUGGAGUAACCAGGAACAAUGGCCACAAACUGAUAGAGAGUAGAUUUAGGUUGGACACCAGGAAGAACUUUUUCACAGAUGGGGUCGCCAGAAUCUGGAAUGGGCUGCCAAGGGAGGUGGUGCUCUCCCCUACCCUGGGGGUCUUCAAGAGAAGAGUGGACAAGCACCUGGCUACAGUCACAUGACCCCAGCACUUUUUCCUGCCACUGGCAGGGGGUCGGACUCAAUGAUCCUUUGAGGUCCCUUCCAACCUUGUCAUCUUUGAAUCUAUGAAUCUAUGAAUCAGCUGCUUGUUCAGUCCAGUUCCAAAAGUGUUAGUGAAACAAAGAAAUAUGAAUCUAAAAUAACAGACUCAAAGUGUAGAUAGAUGCCUAUCAUCAAUAAUGGUAUAUCUGUCAUUGUAAGCUUGGGAAGGUUGGGGAAUGAAGAAUCUGAGGAGUCAACCAACCCGGGCUCAGUGACCUUGGUGAACUAGAGUUCAGUGAUUCUUCCUCCCAAACAUAAGUAUGUCUUUGCAUUCCCAUUGCCCAAUCUGAAUGUCAGCUAAACUUACAUUCUUUCCAAUAAAGUGAUUCUCUUGAGAAGAAGAAUGCUUUCUCUUACUUCUAAAGUCCUGCCAUACCAAAGAAGUUCCCUUUGUCCUAAGGUGUGGAUAGAGGUCUUCCAUUCAGGGAGGUGAAAUGAUUGGAAGAUCUGGAUGUAACAGUUUCUCGUUUUCCUGUCUGUAAAAUAGGACCGUUGCCAUGAGAUAAAUAUACGAAUAGUCCUGAGAAGCACUCAGAUAUUACGAUAAUAUAUGUUCCCAACACAAACUGAGAGAUCUCAUUAUAGUAGAGUUUUUUUUUAUUUUUUUUAAUUCCAAAGACUACUUGCAGGGAACCAUGUAGCAGCCAUCUAUCCCCUCCCCGCCGUUAUUUAUUCUGUGUACAUUAGGCACACGUCACACUGUUUGUUCUGACCCAAAGGAUUUACUGAUGUAAUUGAUACAUAACUUUUGUAAUAUCAUGUGAUUAAAAAUAGGACUACUAAUUUCAAUCAAAAAAUACAUAUUGUUUUUAAAAGUAUGAUAAGGCACAGGAAUGUAGAAUUAAUAAUCUUUUUGAAUACGGCUGGAAACAGUAUAAUUAAAAUGAGGUACAUUUGCA